AACGAACGCUGGCGGCAUGCCUAACACAUGCAAGUCGAACGAGACCUUCGGGUCUAGUGGCGCACGGGUGCGUAACGCGUGGGAACCUGCCCUUAGGUUCGGAAUAACUCCCCGAAAGGGGUGCUAAUACCGGAUAAUGUCUUCGGACCAAAGAUUUAUCGCCUUUGGGUGGGCCCGCGUUGGAUUAGCUAGUUGGUAGGGUAAAAGCCUACCAAGGCGACGAUCCAUAGCUGGUCUGAGAGGAUGAUCAGCCACACUGGGACUGGGACACGGCCCAGACUCCUACGGGAAGCAGCAGUGGGGAAUAUUGGACAAUGGGCGAAAGCCUGAUCCAGCAAUGCCGCGUGAGUGAUGAAGGCCUUAGGGUUGUAAAGCUCUUUUAUCCGGGAUGAUAAUGACAGUACCGGGAGAAUAAGCUCCGGCUAACUCCGUG
rnacentral:rRNA from 1 species